GAUGAACGCUGGCGGCGUGCCUAAUACAUGCAAGUCGAGCGAACAGACGAGGAGCUUGCUCCUCUGACGUUAGCGGCGGACGGGUGAGUAACACGUGGAUAACCUACCUAUAAGACUGGGAUAACUUCGGGAAACCGGAGCUAAUACCGGAUAAUAUAUUGAACCGCAUGGUUCAAUAGUGAAAGACGGUUUUGCUGUCACUUAUAGAUGGAUCCGCGCCGCAUUAGCUAGUUGGUAAGGUAACGGCUUACCAAGGCAACGAUGCGUAGCCGACCUGAGAGGGUGAUCGGCCACACUGGAACUGAGACACGGUCCAGACUCCUACGGGAGGCAGCAGUAGGGAAUAUUGCGCAAUGGGCGAAAGCCUGACGGAGCAACGCCGCGUGAGUGAAGAAGGUCUUCGGAUCGUAAAGCUCUGUUAUUAGGGAAGAACAACUGUGUAAGUAACUAUGCACGUCUUGACGGUACCUAAUCAGAAAGCAACGGCUAACUACGUG
rnacentral:rRNA from 1 species